UUGACCUCGGAUCAGGUAGGAAUACCCGCUGAACUUAAGCAUAUCAAUAAGCGGAGGAAAAGAAACCAACAGGGAUUGCCCUAGUAACGGCGAGUGAAGCGGCAACAGCUCAAAUUUGAAAUCUGGCUCUCGGGCCCGAGUUGUAAUUUGUAGAGGAUACUUUUGAUGCGGUGCCUUCCGAGUUCCCUGGAACGGGACGCCAUAGAGGGUGAGAGCCCCGUCUGGUUGGAUGCCAAAUCUCUGUAAAGUUCCUUCGACGAGUCGAGUAGUUUGGGAAUGCUGCUCUAAAUGGGAGGUAUAUGUCUUCUAAAGCUAAAUACCGGCCAGAGACCGAUAGCGCACAAGUAGAGUGAUCGAAAGAUGAAAAGCACUUUGAAAAGAGAGUUAAAAAGUACGUGAAAUUGUUGAAAGGGAAGCGUUUAUGACCAGACUUGGGCUUGGUUAAUCAUCUGGGGUUCUCCCCAGUGCACUUUUCCAGUCCAGGCCAGCAUCAGUUUUCCCCGGGGGAUAAAGACUUCGGGAAUGUGGCUCUCUUCGGGGAGUGUUAUAGCCCGUUGUGUAAUACCCUGGGGGGGACUGAGGUUCGCGCAUCUGCAAGGAUGCUGGCGUAAUGGUCAUCAACGACCCGUCUUGAAACACGGACCAAGGAGUCGUCUUCGUAUGCGAGUGUUCGGGUGUCAAACCCCUACGCGUAAUGAAAGUGAACGCAGGUGAGAGCUUCGGCGCAUCAUCGACCGAUCCUGAUGUUCUCGGAUGGAUUUGAGUAAGAGCAUACGGGGCCGGACCCGAAAGAAGGUGAACUAUGCCUGUAUAGGGUGAAGCCAGAGGAAACUCUGGUGGAGGCUCGCAGCGGUUCUGACGUGCAAAUCGAUCGUCAAAUAUGGGCAUGGGGGCGAAAGACUAAUCGAACCUUCUAGUAGCUGGUUUCCGCCGAAGUUUCCCUCAGGAUAGCAGUGUUGAACUCAGUUUUAUGAGGUAAAGCGAAUGAUUAGGGACUCGGGGGCGCUAUUUAGCCUUCAUCCAUUCUCAAACUUUAAAUAUGUAAGAAGCUCUUGUUGCUUAAUUGAACG
rnacentral:rRNA from 1 species